GAUCAUGGCUCAGAUUGAACGCUGGCGGCAUGCCUUACACAUGCAAGUCGAACGGUAACAGGUCUUCGGACGCUGACGAGUGGCGAACGGGUGAGUAAUACAUCGGAACGUGCCCAGUCGUGGGGGGAUAACUACUCGAAAGAGUAGCUAAUACCGCAUACGAUCUGAGGAUGAAAGCGGGGGGACCUUCGGGCCUCGCGCGAUUGGAGCGGCCGAUGGCAGAUUAGGUAGUUGGUGGGAUAAAAG
rnacentral:rRNA from 1 species